rnacentral:rRNA from 1 species
UCGAGCGAAGCAGUUAAGAAGAUUCUUCGGAUGAUUCUUGACUGACUGAGCGGCGGACGGGUGAGUAACGCGUGGGUGACCUGCCCCAUACCGGGGGAUAACAGCUGGAAACGGCUGCUAAUACCGCAUAAGCGCACAGAGCUGCAUGGCUCGGUGUGAAAAACUCCGGUGGUAUGGGAUGGGCCCGCGUCUGAUUAGGCAGUUGGCGGGGUAACGGCCCACCAAACCGACGAUCAGUAGCCGGCCUGAGAGGGCGACCGGCCACAUUGGGACUGAGACACGGCCCAAACUCCUACGGGAGGCAGCAGUGGGGAAUAUUGCACAAUGGGGGAAACCCUGAUGCAGCGACGCCGCGUGAGCGAAGAAGUAUUUCGGUAUGUAAAGCUCUAUCAGCAGGGAAGAUAAUGACGGUACCUGACUAAGAAGCCCCGGCUAACUACGCGCCAGCAGCCGCGGUAAUACGUAGGGGGCAAGCGUUAUCCGGAUUUACUGGGUGUAAAGGGAGCGUAGACGGCAAGGCAAGUCUGAUGUGAAAACCCAGGGCUUAACCCUGGGACUGCAUUGGAAACUGUCUGGCUCGAGUGCCGGAGAGGUAAGCGGAAUUCCUAGUGUAGCGGUGAAAUGCGUAGAUAUUAGGAAGAACACCAGUGGCGAAGGCGGCUUACUGGACGGUAACUGACGUUGAGGCUCGAAAGCGUGGGGAGCAAACAGG